UACGAAGGGGGCUAGCGUUGUUCGGAAUUACUGGGCGUAAAGCGCACGUAGGCGGACUAUUAAGUCAGUGGUGAAAGCCCGGAGCUCAACUCCGGAACUGCCAUUGAAACUGUGAGACUUGAGGACGAGAGAGGUGAGUGGAAUUCCCAGUGUAGAGGUGAAAUUCGUAGAUAUUGGGAAGAACACCGGUGGCGAAGGCGGCUCACUGGCUCGUUUCUGACGCUCAGGCGCGACAGCGUGGGGAUCAAACAGG
rnacentral:rRNA from 1 species